rnacentral:lncRNA from 1 species
GAAGGACUUUGACGGAGGAGAACGAACGAGAGGAGGACGAAUGAGACGAGAACGAAGGACUAAGGACAAAUUGUGAAGGGAUCAGACUGUUCGACCCCAUACCGGAACAAUUGGUAUUCAAGAUUCCAAUACUAAAGUAAAGUUGAUGUGUAACUCACUUAUAUUAUGAAUUAAAGAUGUUCAAGUUGUGAAUUGUCUUUUAAUAUGUAUUUUUACUUAAGAAUUUAAAACCUUAAAUUAAAAUUGUUUU